rnacentral:rRNA from 1 species
UACCUUUCAGACGAGGAUAACAGUUGGAAACGACUGCUAAGACUGGAUAGGAAGUUUUAAGGCAUCUUGAAACUUUUAAAAGACCCGCAAGGGUAUGCUGAGAGAUGGGCUUGCGGCACAUUAGUUAGUUGGUAAGGUAACGGCUUACCAAGACCAUGAUGUGUAGCUGGACUGAGAGGUUGAACGGCCACAUUGGGACUGAGAUACGGCCCAAACUCCUACGGGAGGCAGCAGUAAGGAAUUUUCGGCAAUGGAGGAAACUCUGACCGAGCAACGCCGCGUGAACGAUGAAGUAUUUAGGUAUGUAAAGUUCUUUUAUUAAAGAAGAAAAAAUGAUGGAAAAAUCAUUCUGACGGUAUUUAAUGAAUAAGCCCCGGCUAACUAUGUGCCAGCAGCUGCGGUAAUACAUGGGGGGCAAGCGUUAUCCGGAUUUAUUGGGCGUAAAGGGUGCGUAGGCGGUUUAAUAAGUCUAUGGUCUAAGUUCAACGCUUAACGUUGUGAUGCUAUAGAAACUGUUUGACUAGAGUUGGAUAGAGGCAAGUGGAAUUCCAUGUGUAGCGGUAAAAUGCGUAAAGAUAUGGAGGAACACCAGUAGCGAAGGCGGCUUGCUGGGUCUUAACUGACGCUGAGGCACGAAAGCGUGGGGAGCAAACAGGAUUAGAUACCCUGGUAGUCCACGCCGUAAACGAUGAGUACUAAGUGUUGGGUUAAACCAGUGCUGAAGUUAACGCAUUAAGUACUCCGCCUGAGUAGUACGUACGCAAGUAUGAAACUUAAAGG